rnacentral:rRNA from 1 species
UUAUUGGGUAUCAAAACCUAAUAGCGAAAUUAACAUAACUUAUUAUGGGAUUAGUUUUUAGAUUAUUUAUAGUCUAUUAAUUCAAUCCCGGGGCGUUCUAUUUGGUUAUGUAUAAUAAUAUUUAUAUUAUUUAUACCUCUAACUAGAGCGUACCUUGAGCAUAUAUGCUGUGACCCGAAAGAUGGUGAACUAUACUUGAUCAGGUUGAAGUCAGGGGAAACCCUGAUGGAAGACCGAAACAGUUCUGACGUGCAAAUCGAUUGUCAGAAUUGAGUAUAGGGGCGAAAGACCAAUCGAACCAUCUAGUAGCUGGUUCCCUCCGAAGUUUCCCUCAGGAUAGCUGGUGCAUUUAGAAAUUAUGUAAAAUAAUCUUAUCUGGUAAAGCGAAUGAUUAGAGGCCUUAGGGUCGAAACGACCUUAACCUAUUCUCAAACUUUAAAUGGGUAAGAACCUCACCUUUCUUGGUAUGAAGGUUGUGGUUGUGAUAUAAUGUGCCCAGUGGGCCACUUUUGGUAAGCAGAACUGGCGCUGUGGGAUGAACCAAACGUAAUGUUACGGUGCCCAAAUUAACAACUCAUGCAGAUACCAUGAAAGGCGUUGGUUGCUUAAAACAGCAG